GACGAACGCUGGCGGCGUGCUUAACACAUGCAAGUCGAACGGAAAGGCCCUGCUUGCAGGGUACUCGAGUGGCGAACGGGUGAGUAACACGUGGGUGAUCUGCCCUGCACUUCGGGAUAAGCCUGGGAAACUGGGUCUAAUACCGGAUAGGAGCCAUUUUUAGUGUGAUGGUUGGAAAGUUUUUUCGGUGUAGGAUGAGCUCGCGGCCUAUCAGCUUGUUGGUGGGGUAAUGGCCUACCAAGGCGGCGACGGGUAGCCGGCCUGGGAGGGUGGACGGCCACAUUGGGACUGAGAUACGGCCCAGACUCCUACGGGAGGCAGCAGUGGGGAAUAUUGCACAAUGGGCGCAAGCCUGAUGCAGCGACGCCGCGUGGGGGAUGACGGCCUUCGGGUUGUAAACGCCUUUCGCUAGGGACGAAGCUUUUUGUGACGGUACCUAGAUAAGAAGCACCGGCUAACUACGUG
rnacentral:rRNA from 1 species